rnacentral:rRNA from 1 species
AGCUAACGUUGGCGGCGUGCCUAACACAUGCAAGUCGAACGCGUCCCCGCAAGGGGAUGAGUGGCGAACGGGUGAGUAACACGUGGGUCAUCUCCCCUCGAGUGAGGAAUAAGCUCCCGAAAGGGAGUCUAAUACUGCAUAACGCCCCGGGGCAUAAGUCCCGGGUCCAAAGCCGUAAGGCGCUUGAGGAUGAGCCUGCGUCCUAUUAGCUAGUUGGUAGGGUAAUGGCCUACCAAGGCGAAGAUGGGUAGCCGGCCUGAGAGGGUGAACGGCCACACUGGGACUGAGACACGGCCCAGACUCCUACGGGAGGCAGCGGUGAGGAAUUUUGCGCAAUGGGGGAAACCCUGACGCAGCGACGCCGCGUGGAGGAUGAAGGCCUUCGGGUCGUAAACUCCUGUCAGAGGUGAAGAAUACCCGCAAGGGUUUGACGGUAACCUCAAAGGAAGCCCCGGCUAACUACGUGCCAGCCGCCGCCGUAACAC